rnacentral:lncRNA from 1 species
AUGACAUGUCUUCCAUUGUAUACGGGAAGUUGCUCGACAUGAGACACUUGUGAUCAGAGAAGAGGCAUAUAUGAUUGAAGUCAGAACUUGUUCCACUAUUGAGUAUCAUCAUCAUUACAUCAUCUUCACCUCCCGCCCCCUCAACUCAGUCUCGGGUACUCAGUCGCCGAAGUGUUAUCGCCACUCUCCGCAUCAAUUUUGUUAUCAGACGUUGUCAUUUUACUAUUAGGUGCAACGGACUUUUCUCUUAUGUGUACGUCUAUUUGUGUCAAGAUGAAUAGCUUGAAGGCGUUUAAGGAGCCAUUCGAUAGAAUCAUCUCUGAACCAGUGGAGGACACAGAUACGAGUAGCUUCAUGGCAGAAAUGUCCUUGAAGUCCAACUAUCCAGUCCAAGUCACAGAUCCUCAAGGUAGGUGCUUUAAGUUCAGUACAUCUGUUCACACAACUGAUGUGUCUUUCUGGGGCCUCUGAUGAGAAAGCACAAUAUUCAUCUAUACUGUCGAUCUGUCCUUUCCAGAUACAGUGACACUGCAGCUGAGGUCCAUGCCACCUGGCUACCUCACACCUCUCUCAGACAGAAUAAGACAGGUGGGUGAUGGGCUCACUUACACUGAGAUAAAGUGUAGUUUCUUUGUGUUAGUUUCAUAUUAAUGUGAAAAUGUGGUGAUGAGCCUUGACAGGAUGCUCCUGUAAACUGUAGAUUACUAAAGAUAACUCCAACCGCUAAGCCAGCAUCUGAGAAUGUCAUGACCUGGUCUGUAAUGUUUGAGUCUUUGUAACUGGAACUAGUGGUUGGUGUCAAAACCACAAGACCGUUUUCCGUAUAGGAAAAGGUUUGUGAGUUGGUGGUUGUGUUAUUU